UCAACUAUGGGGCUCAGACUUGUGUGCAC
rnacentral:piRNA from 1 species